CCUCCUGAAAGGCCUAGCAUCUGGAGUCCAAGAUAAAACCACAGACGGAUAGACAGGCAGGAGCAGGUGAGGCUCUUGAAGGGGUCACAAGCACAGGAACCAGGGCUGGUGCCCCUAUCUUGUGGAUCUCAGAGGAAGCGGCAGGUCACGUGGUCAGUCUCUCUCUGAUUCGUGGCUGGCAUGGGGAGGGGAGGGCAUUCUGGAGUAGGAAUGUGGGACUCUGAAGAUUUGAGGAGGAAGGGACACAUCUAGUUGAGGUGUAUCUAUGAUGGGCAGAUGUGUCACCACAGGUAGCCUCUGGUGUCCCCAAAACUGGCAACCUACUCCAAGAACUUCCUUAGGAAAUGAGAAUGGCGCCUGUGAUUCACCUGGAAUCUAGGCACUUGGGGAGUUCGGUUACAGCCUCAUGGCCCCCUUCCACAGUGUGGAGGUGGGGCACCUGUCUCUCCCUGUGGCAGCGGGGAUUCCUGAAUCAACUGUGGAGAUAAAGAGGCUGAGGAUGGCCCUAACUUGGGCAGUGUCCGUCUGGUAUGUGAAUUCAUAGUUCUUUCCUGGAGUCUCAAACAGAUUUAUGAUCCAACUCAACCUGAAAGGGGUUCGCCAGUGGCUGUGGAAAGGAAAGUCUUCUGUGAACCCCAACCCAGAGUCCAACACCCCCACCCCCCGCCAGGAUCAAAAAUAUGCAUUUUUAAACAAAGUGGAGUCUCCGUUCUUGAAUGUGUGUGUUGGGGGAGGGGACCAUUCUUUCCUGUUUACCUUUGGCACCGCAGGCACCUUUCCCUCGAAUCAGAUUCUGUAUCUCCAAGCUCCGAGGCCUCUGGAGAUCAGCUUAGCUUUAGGAAGUCACUUCCGUUCCUUUGCUGAACAGUGAAUUAGAUACUAUUUUUAAAUAGUCUAAUAAAAUUCAAGAACACUUUCUGAAAAAAAAA
rnacentral:lncRNA from 1 species